GAAUAUUGCACAAUGGAGGAAACUCUGAUGCAGCGACGCCGCGUGAGUGACGAAGGCCUUCGGGUUGUAAAGCUCUGUUCUCAGGGAAAAAGAAAGUGAUUGUACCUGAGAAGAAAGGACCGGCUAACUUCGUGCCAGCAGCCGCGGUAAGACGAGGGGUCCAAGCGUUGUUCGGAAUUGUUGUGCGUAAAGCGGGUGUAGGUGGCUCUGUAAGUCAGAAGUGAAAGCCCCGAGCUUAACUUGGGAAGUGCUUUUGAUACUGCAGAGCUUGAAUGUGGGAGAGGAUCGUGGAAUUCCAGGUGUAGUGGUGAAAUACGUAGAUAUCUGGAGGAACACCGGUGGCGAAGGCGGCGAUCUGGCCCAACAUUGACACUGAGACCCGAAAGCGUGGGGAUCAAACAGG
rnacentral:rRNA from 1 species